rnacentral:tRNA from 1 species
GGUAAGUUGGUUCAGUGGUAGAGUGCUUGCCUUGCAUGCAUGAGGCCCUGAGUUCAAUUCCUCAGCACCA